CUUUCCCUUUCUCUCACUUGAAUUCCUCUCUCUUGAACUACCAUCCCUUUCCCUUUCUCUCACUUGAAUUCCUCUCUCUCUCCCCCAAGGUCUUCCACUUAAACUACUUCAGCCAUGAGUUUCUUUUCAAGCUAUCACCACCGGUUGUGAAGAAAAGAUUUUGGCAAGAGAGGGACCCAUUUGGCCAAGCAAGGAAUAUGAGGUUCCAAGGUACUUGGUGAUGGAACUAGUAACUUGAUUGGUUGAGUGCGGUGCCCGGUUGAGGUAGAUUUGGAAUGGAUUGCUGAGUUUUUCAGAUAAAUUUGCUAUACCCUCCUACAUGGAGUUGGUUUAAUUGGUGAUGAUUGGAGCAUUGUGCUAAUUGAGAGAGUUAUGCUAUGAUUGGUUGGUGACUCAACUUACUAAAUUUAUCAAGGCCACUGCUAUUUCUAUCAGAGGUUGGUUAGCCUUGGGCAGGGUAGGCUUAAAUUCUAUCAUUGAGGUUGCCUAUCCUAGGAAGAAUUGUGGUUUUUCAUUGAUCCAUUUGGAGCUUUGGGAUUUCAUGUAUAUUUGGAGACAUGAUUCAUAAUUUGUAUUGUUUGUAAAUGUCUCGUAGAGCUCUGACUUAUA